AGUGAACGCUGGCGGCAGGCCUAACACAUGCAAGUCGAACGGCAGCACAGUGGAGCUUGCUCCAUGGGUGGCGAGUGGCGGACGGGUGAGGAAUACAUCGGAAUCUGCCCAGUCGUGGGGGAUAACAUAGGGAAACUUAUGCUAAUACCGGAUACGACGUACGGGUGAAAGCGGGGGAUCGCACGACCUAGCGCGAUUGGAUGAGCCGAUGUCCGAUUAGGUAGUUGGCGGGGUAAUGGCCGACCAAGGCGACGAUCGGUAGCUGGUCUGAGUGGAUGAUCAGCCACACUGGAACUGAGACACGGUCCAGACUCCUACGGGAGGCAGCAGUGGGGAAUAUUGGACAAUGGGCGCAAGCCUGAUCCAGCCAUGCCGCGUGGGUGAAGAAGGCCUUCGGGUUGUAAAGCCCUUUUGUCCGGAAAGAAACGCCUCGGAUUAAUACUCUGGGGUAAUGACGGUACCGGAAGAAUAAGCACCGGCUAACUUCGUGCCAGCCGCCGCAGUAAAAC
rnacentral:rRNA from 1 species